UACGUAGGGACCGAGCGUUGUCCGGAAUCAUUGGGCGUAAAGAGCGUGUAGGCGGCUAUUUAAGUCCUGCGUGAAAUCCUGCGGCUCAACCGCAGACGGUCGUGGGAAACUGGAUGGCUAGAGUGCGGGAGAGGAGAGUGGAAUUCCCGGGUGUAGCGGUGAAAUGCGCAGAUAUCGGGAAGAACACCCGUGGCGAAGGCGGCUCUCUGGAACGCAACUGACGCUGAGACGCGAAAGCGUGGGGAG
rnacentral:rRNA from 1 species